GUCAUACUACGGUGCAUUAAGGGAGAAAGUAAACGAUGACCCUUAAGGAACUCUAGGCUAAAAUACCUCUCAAAAUACAAAAUCGAUCCCGACUUGGGAGAAAAUUCCGAGUCAGGUUUCUUU
rnacentral:sRNA from 1 species